AUGAAUAUCUUCAGGAAGUUUGGCUCAAGGAAGAACUACAAGGGUGUUAUUGGGAUGUCUUCUGACAGUGAUCUCCAACCUCAGAGGUUGGCGGAAGUACGGCCGUGCGAAUGGCCGCACAUCCCGUUCCUACAAGAGGCUGGAAUUUUUGAGGAGUUCAUGCAAUAUAUUGCUAAUGUCGACCUCACUGACUUCAUUGCACAUGAGUGUGAUCGGCACAAAAUACUCACAAACAUCUUUGUUCAAAGUUUUACUUUCCUGCCUAGGAAUAAUCCUCUUGAUGCGAGCUUUGAUUUAUAUGCUGAAAAUCAUCAGAUACCUCUUACUGAACUUUGCAACAUAUGCAUGAUCCCUUCUGAUGGGAGCUUGGCUGAGCCUAGGCCGGCUGAGUUUGAGGCCUUUUAUCGCACUUUGACGCUGGGAGAUGAGAGAGGAGUGUUGGCCACCACGGCUGCUAGCUUGCACUUUCCUGUUGUACAUUGUUUUGCUUUACUUGUUGCUAAGUGUUUGCUUGCUAGAAAGAAAGUAGGCGCGCUCAGUGCACUAGACUUUGUUGUUUUACGUCGGGCACUGGAGGGUGACAACACUUAUAGCUUGGGAGCUAUUGUGGCUCGCCGCAUGCAUCUUAAUAAAUCUCAGGGUCAACUACAUGGUGGGAUUUUUGCUACUCGUUUGUCGGCUCACUUUGAGGUUGAGAUACGCCCUCAUGACUACCCUCUGAGCAGGGUUUACCUAGAGCAAGCAGCCAUGGAUCACCACCAUUUUACUGAUGAUAGAUCUCCUAACAUCCCUAUUCCGUAUAACCUGGUUUUUAGUGUAAAGACUCGUGAUAUUAUUCCGUUGCCUGCUCCUGCUUUGUUUGAUCCUGUUGUCAGGGGCGGAUAUAGGAUUAUGCAUGCAGACAUCAUCGCCUACCGGAAUGCUGAGGCCGCUGGUGCGGCAGCACAGGAGGAGCCUCGGUAG
rnacentral:rRNA from 1 species